GACGAACGCUGGCGGCGUGCCUAAUACAUGCAAGUUGAGCGCUGAAGGGUGGGACUUGUGCCAACUGGAUGAGCAGCGAACGGGUGAGUAACGCGUGGGGAAUCUGCCUUCGAGCGGGGGACAACAUACGGAAACGAAUGCUAAUACCGCAUAAAAACUUUAAACAAAAGGUUUAAGAUUGAAAGAUGAAAUUGCAUCACUCAAAGAUGAUCCCGCGUUGUAUUAGCUGGUUGGUGAGGGAAGGGCUCACCAAGGCGAUGAUACAUAGCGGACCGGAGAGGGGGAUCGGCCCCCUCGGGACUGGGACAGGGCCCAAACCCCUACGGGUGGCGGCAGUAGGGGAUCGUCGGCUAUGGCCGUAAGUCUGACCCAGCAACGCCGCGUUAGUGAAGAAGGUUUUCGGCUCGUGAGUCUCUGUUGGUUGUUAAGAGCGGUUGUGGGGGUGGACAGGUCAUCUAGUGACGGUACCUAACCAGAAAGGGCCGGCUAACUACGUG
rnacentral:rRNA from 1 species